AAACCAGCACCUCAAGUGGUCAGGAUGAUUAUUGGGCCUAAAGCAUCCGUAGCCUGCUCUGUAAGUUUUCGGUUAAAUCUGUAUGCUCAACAUACAGGCUGCCGGGAAUACUGCAGAGCUAGGGAGUGGGAGAGGUAGACGGUACUCGGGAGGAAGUGGUAAAAUGCUUUGAUCUCUCGAUGACCACCUGUGGCGAAGGCGGUCUACCAGAACACGUCCGACGGUGAGGGAUGAAAGCUAGGGGAGCAAACCGGAUUAGAAACCCCGGUAGUCC
rnacentral:rRNA from 1 species